GGUUAAGUGACUAAGCGUACAUGGUGGAUGCCUUGGCAGUCAGAGGCGAUGAAGGACGUACUAACCUGCGAUAAGCCGUGAGCAGUCGGUAAGAGACAUUACGACUCACGGAUUUCCGAAUGGGGAAACCCACCCAAGAUAACUUGGGUAUCGCUACGUGAAUACAUAGCGUAG
rnacentral:rRNA from 1 species